AUUUAUACUGUGCGGUAAGCAUUUUAUGCUUCUCGAUAAACUCUCUAUUGAUUCACAACCGGUACGUUAAGGUGAGCGGACAACAUUACAGGCACGGCUAUGGCGUCAUGCCCAGCACUGCUUUCUUGCCUUCCGUACUGAAUAUUUUUUUUCUUUGCAGAAACGUAUCAGAUCUCUACGUACUGACAGGUCCAUCCAGCAAUACAUCUGCGAAUAUGUUUAUCGAAAUCGGAUCCUGUCAGCGUACUCCACACCCGGGGAACAAUUCAAGCAAUUCCUAACAGAUAUCAGAGCAGCCUAUCCUGGCCCCGGUCAUACAGGCUUGACCCUUGGCCCCAUUGGUGUCGAGACAUCCGGUGGCGAACAGAGUCGCGAUGACUCCUCGCCAUCACCACCAGCUCCCACAUCAUCUCCCCCGCCAUCAGCAGUUCCCACAUCUUCCCCGCCAUCACCAGCUCCCACAUCUCCCCCGCAUCAAAGCACCGAGUACAACAAUUGGGCACAAGAUCCUUCCACAUCUCCACGCAAGAUUGGAAGGACGCCGGACCAAGCGCGUCGUAAGGGGGAAAUUGAGCCACCGACCAUAUUUACUGCUUUUACGCAUUUUGUUUUUUUUUUUUUUUCUUCAAUUGGCA
rnacentral:lncRNA from 1 species